CCUACGGGUGACAGCAGUGAGGAAUAUUGGUCAAUGGACGAGAGUCUGAACCAGCCAAGUAGCGUGAAGGAUGACUGCCCUAUGGGUUGUAAACUUCUUUUAUAUGGGAAUAAAAUGUUCCACGUGUGGGAUUUUGUAUGUACCAUAUGAAUAAGGAUCGGCUAACUCCGUGCCAGCAGCCGCGGUAAUACGGAGGAUCCGAGCGUUAUCCGGAUUUAUUGGGUUUAAAGGGAGCGUAGGUGGAUUGUUAAGUCAGUUGUGAAAGUUUGCGGCUCAACCGUAAAAUUGCAGUUGAAACUGGCAGUCUUGAGUACAGUAGAGGUGGGCUGAAUUCGUGGUGUAGCGGUGAAAUGCUUAGAUAUCACGAAGAACUCCGAUUGCGAAGGCAGUUCACUGGACUGCAACUGACACUGAGGCUCGAAAGUGUGGGUAUCAAACAGGAUUAGAUACCCGAGUAGUC
rnacentral:rRNA from 1 species